UGGGAUAAGCCUGGGAAACUGGGUCUAAUACCGAAUAUGACCAUGCGCCUCCUGGUGUGUGGUGGAAAGCUUUUGCGGUGUGGGAUGGGCCCGCGGCCUAUCAGCUUGUUGGUGGGGUAAUGGCCUACCAAGGCGACGACGGGUAGCCGGCCUGAGAGGGUGACCGGCCACACUGGGACUGAGAUACGGCCCAGACUCCUACGGGAGGCAGCAGUGGGGAAUAUUGCACAAUGGGCGCAAGCCUGAUGCAGCGACGCCGCGUGAGGGAUGACGGCCUUCGGGUUGUAAACCUCUUUCAGCACAGACGAAGCGCAAGUGACGGUAUGUGCAGAAGAAGGACCGGCCAACUACGUGCCAGCAGCCGCGGUAAUACGUAGGGUCCGAGCGUUGUCCGGAAUUACUGGGCGUAAAGAGCUCGUAGGUGGUUUGUCGCGUUGUUCGUGAAAACUCACAGCUUAACUGUGGGCGUGCGGGCGAUACGGGCAGACUUGAGUACUGCAGGGGAGACUGGAAUUCCUGGUGUAGCGGUGGAAUGCGCAGAUAUCAGGAGGAACACCGGUGGCGAAGGCGGGUCUCUGGGCAGUAACUGACGCUGAGGAGCGAAAGCGUGGGGAGCGAACAGGAUUAGAUACCCUGGUAGUCCACGCCGUAAACGGUGGGUACUAGGUGUGGGUUUCCUUCCUUGGGAUCCGUGCCGUAG
rnacentral:rRNA from 1 species